GCGAAUAUAGUUCAGUGGCAGAACCUCAGCUUCCCAAGCUGAUGGUGAGGGUCCGAUUCCCGUUAUUCGCUCCA
rnacentral:tRNA from 1 species